AACGAACGCUGGCGGCAUGCCUAACACAUGCAAGUCGAACGAGACCUUCGGGUCUAGUGGCGCACGGGUGCGUAACGCGUGGGAACCUGCCUUGAGGUUCGGAAUAACUCCCGAAAGGGUGCUAAUACCGGAUAAUGUCUUCGGACCAAAGAUUUAUCGCCUUUAGAUGGGCUCGCGUUGGAUUAGCUUGUUGGUGGGUA
rnacentral:rRNA from 1 species